GGCGCCGGUGGGGGAGGGUUCCGCCCCAUCGGUGGGGGCCGGACCCGAAUCCUAGCCCGCGGCGGCGCUCGGCGUCGUCCCGGCGGCGCC
rnacentral:tRNA from 2 species